rnacentral:rRNA from 1 species
GACGAACGCUGGCGGCGUGCUUAACACAUGCAAGUCGAGCGGUAAGGCCCUUUCGGGGGUACACGAGCGGCGAACGGGUGAGUAACACGUGGGUGACCUGCCCUCAGCUCUGGGAUAAGCCUGGGAAACCGGGUCUAAUACUGGAUAUGACUCCAUGACGCAUGUUGUGGGGUGGAAAGCCUUGUGCGGCUGAGGAUGGGCCCGCGGCCUAUCAGCUUGUUGGGGGGUGAUGGCCUACCAAGGCGACGACGGGUAGCCGGCCUGAGAGGGCGACCGGCCACACUGGGACUGAGACACGGCCCAGACUCCUACGGGAGGCAGCAGUGGGGAAUCUUGCGCAAUGGGCGAAAGCCUGACGCAGCGACGCCGCGUGAGGGAUGACGGCCUGU